GCCUGAGUGGCUCAGCCGGUUAGGCGUCUGACUUCAGCUCAGGUCAUGAUCUCAUGGUUCGUGAGUUCAAGCCCCGCAUCGGGCU
rnacentral:tRNA from 1 species